UUCACUGCUCGCCUCAGGUGGUCAUUCAGAGGUUCAGGCUGUGAUUCAGCAGCCCCAUACAAUAUGGAACACAAAAACGAGUUCAGCACCAAAGGGAACCAAAAAUGCACAGAAAUUUCCGUUGUUUAUGGUCUUAUGGGGAGACAGAUCCAAGGACAAAACUCAAUCACUUUAUACCUUCAUUUUGCAAUUUUACACAGGGGCUAACCAAACAAGACACCAAAAAUGUGAGUAGAGGCACUUAAAGACACAAACACAAAGUGUUUCCUUAUAAUUAUCUUUUCUAAGCAUAUCAUGCUGUCUCUGUAAUAUGUAAAACCAAUGACUGUUCCCCAGGGAGCCUACAUCUUUGUCCAGUGACUUCUAUUGCCUGGCUCCUUUUUAACAGUUCUGCAUGCAUCUCAACUUAAGGUAUUUGCCUCAGCUUUCAUUAUGUCAGCUGUACAAAAGCAUUCAGAAUUUGACCAGUUCAACUACCACUCUUAGUUUAUAGAGCUAGUAGUUACUCUCCUAAUGGAAUAUGAUGUCUACUUUCCAAUUCACAAUGCCAUGAUUGAAAGAAGAGUUCCCAAAGAGUGGAACCUAACCUACAAAUGGACAUUAUGGGAGGGAGAUAGAAUGAUAGAACUAUUAAGAUUGGAAAAGGCCUCUAAGAUCAUUAUGUCCAACUAUCACCACUGCGCCCAGUAAACCAUGCCCUAAGUGCCACAUCUACCCCUUUCCUGAAAGCCUUCAGUGACAGUGACUCUACCUCUUCCCUGAUCACCCUAUUCCAAUGUUUGACCACUCAGAGAAUUAUUUUUUUCAUAACAUAUGGCCUGAACCUCUCCUGCCACAAAUUUAGCACAAAUUCUUCUUGUCGUAUUACUAAUUACCAGAGGGAAGAGACCUAUCCCCCCCACAUUACAGCCUCCUUUCAGGUAGCUCUAUAGAGCAGUAAGGUCUCUUCUGAGCCUUCUCUUCUCCAGACUCAAACCUCAAUCCCAGCUGCUCCUCAUAAGUCUUGUGUUCCAGACUCCUCACCAGCUGUGCUGCCCUUCAGAAAAGCACUAGGGCUUCAGCUUCACUCUCGUAGAGGGGGGUCCAAAACUAACACAACACUCGAGGUAUGGCCUCACCAGUACCAAGUACAGAGGGAUGGUUACCUCCCUAGUCCUGCUGACUACACUAUUUCUGACACAAGCCAGGAUGUCAUUGGCCUUCUUGGCCAUCUGGGCAGACUGCUGUUCAGCCACCUGCCAACUAAUACCUCCAGAUCCUUUUCUUCUGUGCAGCCUCCCAAUCACAAAAGCCUGUACUGAUGCAUGACAAACCAAAACUACUACUACACUUGAAAUAGAAGGAAGAAAAAAAUUUUAACGUAGCAGCAACUAUAAAACACAAGGGAUCGCAGUGCCUGUCUGUGCAAUACCAAAUCGCAGUGUAGUACGUGCCAAGACAACUGUAGAAGACAAAAAAAAAUACAGAAGACAAAAAUUACCACAGAUAUCUUUACUGCAGGGAUGGAGAGAGUUUUCAAAAUUUAAGCACAUUUUUGGUGCUCAUAUUUCCUAUUGUCAUGUGCAGGGCAAAAAAAAAAAAAAAAGAAACUUUACAAUUCAGUAUUCACAGUACAGAGAUCUGAAAAGUUGCUUUCUGCAGAGAUGAAGAUACUACGAAGUGGUCUGAAGCACAGGCAUGAGAUCCUUCUAGAUCCACCCAAGAACCUAGGAAAGACCAUAACUUUGUAGGCUGAGCUUCGGAACCAUUCAUUUGUGCUCCCAACCCUUCUGAUUAUUGCACUAAAAUAGCUACCUAGCACUGAUUUGUUUUAUGUUGGCCUGAGGAGGCUUUUUUGAUAGAACAGCCAUUUAAACAACAGGAACUUAGAAAUGGGGACAUUUCUUAAAAGGAUUCCCAAUUGACACAGCCGUGCCGCUCCAAUCUUACAACAUUACAGUUGCAGCAAGACAAACUUCUGAUAUUAACUCCUCCUUCCAUCUGUCGGAACUCGCUUUAAUUCCUUUCCUUUUACCACCUGUUUUAUAAGUCUGAAGAGUUCACUCAAAAUUUUAUCAAGAACCAGAAACCUUCCUUGCAAUAAAAUUGAGAUUAAUGUCUCAUUUAGCUUUACAGAAAUACUGAAUUAUUCUAACACUCCUGAUAAACUGAACAGUAUAGUUAAGUAUACCAACUUUUUCAAACUAUAACAAGAUGUUCUCUAGAACUGCAGAAAGUACCGAUGUGCAAGGGAUAUUUGCUUGUUUGCCGACGUCAGCAAAAUUCUUACAGAGUAGCUCACAUAUGUAAAAUUUAGUCUCACUUAUCUUCUUGCUCUCUCAUUAUCCCAAAAGCAGCAGCACUGAAAUAAACUAGGGAAAGUGUUUUUGAUUCUUCACUAUGGAGAAGGGAAUUAAGCCUAAAAUAAGGUAAGUUACCACAUACUCAAAUCUGUAAUGCAGUAAUAGACUUUCUCUUUCAAGUUCUACCAAGCUUCUGUCUAUUUUGGGUCAUUCAUAUGCCUGCUGCAAUAGCAGGAUAAAGUACAGUGCUAGCGUGACUGCAAGACUUAGACUUUGAUAACUGUUCUUUCCAAGGCUUUCCCCGUCUAAUAUUACUGUAGCAAUUGUAACAUCUUCAGUGGAGAAGAGAGGUCUGAGAAAAGGAGACUUCGAUGAGUUUUUAAGGUUCUGUUUAAAGCAAUCCACAUAAAAAGUUACAAAACAACUUGAAACACACCGAAGACUUCGUUUUGAAAACAGAUUGUUGGGUUCAUAACUUCACAGAAUAUCUGAAGUUAUCAGGUUUAAUGUUGAUUAUGAGUGCUAGGAGAGAACUAGAGAGUAGCAAAUGUCAACAGAUACACAUGUUACAGUUAGCAUCUUAACAAGCUUCAGGACAGAUUUUUAGUCACGUUAAAAUAACGUAUCUGGGUGACUAUAUCCAAGAAGGCCAACCAGUCUAGCCUAUUAGAAGAGAAUCCCUACUAUUGGUUCUGCAAGAAGGCAAAUGUUACCCUCUACAAUUCAUUCAUGUUUUUGUCUGGGGACAGAUGCACAGACAUGUACACAUGCACACGCACACACUUCUACUAUUUAACCAGAUUACACAAAAAUUGUUCCCCAAAGGAAACAAAAACAAAUUUUAUUGUUUGUAAAUGUGGCUACAGAACCCUCAAAUGUGCACACCACACAACUUUAACUCCUGUGCUCUGAGGAAUUCUACAAACUAUUGUUCUGUGAUUUGUAGCUAUAGAAAUGGAGCUAAGAUUCUGCAAUGGUAUAUCUGAAAAUAAACUAAAGAAAGGGAAUGCCAGCGUCCAAGUGAAGGUUAUAUUCUUUUCCUUAGAUAAGGUCCCAGGAUGAGGUUUAAUCAGCAGCACAAGUAUCUUAGUGCUGUUCUGCUCAGGUACUUCCAGCAGCAGAGGUUACUGAGCAGAGGUUGAUUCUGCCAUCAGACUCAGCCCAUUCAACCUUGUUUACCAUUUUGAUGAAUUUUCAGCAUCUUGAUGAAAUUGCUGAAAGGUCAGAAAUGCUAAACAGACACUAAUUACAUUACUUUCUGGUUUUUUUUACUUUUGCAUCUCUCCCUCUACUUAGCACAAAUCUUUAUAUUUCCACUAGUGACCGUGCCUGCAUUUUAAAUCAUCCUCCUUUGCUCAAUUUGUAAUUUUUUUCUCUUCAUUCUUUUUUUUUCAGAUUAUCAGAUUUCAUUCUUCAUUUAUAUUCAUUUAAAUUCAUACAUAAUUUCAUUAACCUUCUAUUUUUGCAGUAAGGUUAACUCUUGUUUAGUCUGGGUUGCGUUUUCUGUAGAAAAAUAAUGCCUUACAAAAACCUAUCUGCUAGUGUUCAGAGGAACAAAACUAGAAAAAGUAGCUAAUAGAUUCAGAACUUCUCUGAAUACUAAUAUCCUUUUUUAGGGCAAGUCUUUAUCAAUGGCCUAAAUUAUUUGCCCACAUUUUGAAGACAUUCUGAUUUUGAAGGAUUUAUGCUCCCUCUCUUUGGACUUCAGUAUCCACAGUGCUGCAGGAAGAGAGCUAUAUAACACUGCCAGUGGUGCCCAGUAACACCAUUCAAAUCAUCCUACUUUCUGAAGCUGCACUGAGCAUUUUGAUGUAAGAGUUUUCAACUCCCGUCUCAACCUUACCACUGAUCAGCUUUCUUCCUGAUGGAUAGAUGUGACAAAUGCCACCUGCCUCAAAAAACGAAACAUUCAUUAUUUCUAAAUAAUCAUCUUGAACAGCUAAAGUCAGUACAGUUAUUGAAGUUUUAUGGUGAGAUAAAGAUUCCCACAGCAUUUUUGUCUGUUACCUAUUAUAACCUAACUAUUAUAAAAUGUUUAACAAUACCAGAAAGCGAAUUGUCAGAGAAGAGGAUAUAAAUGGUAUGUGCUCAUUUUGAAAAGUACCUCUCAGUGGCAUCAGAACUUUUAAAUCAGAAUUUUUAAAUAUGCCUAUUAUGGAGCAACUUCAUGCAGGUUUCUCAGACUUUCCUGAUUCAGCAUCUGCUGUUCAUUUAUUCCAGAAGCGAUCCAGGUUCCUGUAACACUGUCAUGGUUCUGUGAUUUUGGUAUGGGCACUCGCAUCAUAGCAUCACGUAGUACCGGGAGUUACAGAGUUAAUGCGCCUGUUCCAUGGAGUGUUGAUAUUCCUGGGUAUCUGGUUCUCAGAAGAGAACCACUACAUAUCCCAGAAGACGUUAACUGUUCCGUUUCCAUUUUCUGUUUAGAGGGAAAGAUAAAACUGUUCACAAAUCACGACUUCUUUUACUCCUUGUCUCUGCGGCGUGCGCUCCGUACCCAUCUCACCUUCAGGAUUACACGCAAACUACAACAAAGAAACACAGCUUUCAGCAUCAAGAACGCAGAAGAGAAAAAAAGUUUUUGCCAGGUCUGGAUUCAAACUUAACAUUGUACUUAGGUGGUAAGAAGGAUGCAUAUCAACAGCACAAUUCUUCCUUUCACAGACCAGCUAAAAAUCUGGCCUCUGCUUCUCUCCUUCCUCCUAUCAGCCCUGGAAUGUACCUUGGCAAGGCUCAAUUAAUCAUUCCUUUCCUGGUCAAAUGGGUUCCUUCUCGAUUCCCAACUUACUACCUCUCUUCCAGGAUAAAGGAGGUGUAACUAUGAAAAUCCCAAAGAAUAUGUUUAAUAUAGCUGAAGUCCUCUGACUGACCUCUGUGUUAUUGAAAAUUAUACCAUUUUCUUCAUGUUCAAUUUGUAAAAUAGCAUUAAAUAGCACACCGAGUGAAAUCCACCAAUGCUUGUAUGUCGCAUCGACCAAACCUGGCAUCCAAUUACAAAUACACCUGAGAGAACAGAAGCUUUUUGUCUCUCAUUGCUUUCUUCUGGAUUAUGAUUUAACAUAAUCCUAAUGUUGUGCUGCUCCUCCUCUAGUGUGAAGGGAAUUAAGGACUGCUGUAUUUUCACCAAACUCACAGAGAGUACAGUGACGCACAGCAGAGAUGUACAAAAACCAGCAGGCAGAGAUUCACUUGUUCUGAGUUGAGAAAAGUUGGGAGAUGAAAAAAGGUUCAGGGUUGAGCCUGCUUGCACAGAUACCAAUCAGUACUGUGAAAUCUCUUGCUGGACAAACAGGUGAUUUUUCAUCAAAUCUAAUACAGGUGCAAUUGAAGAAUGCAGAUGGCUUCGGAUGUUUUAGAUUUUUUCUUUAAUUCUCUGUUCCAAAAGACUGUGCGUAAACAUUACAUAUUUACUUCUUUGGCAUUUUUAAAGGUAUAAGCUUACAUAAUUUUGACAUGACUCUCAGCAGUCAAAAUUGCGUAUUUCAGAAGUAUUCCAGACAUCAGCUUGCAAGCAGUUCAAGAAGUUAGGAGUAAGUUACUCUUCCUGUCGUAACUCACACAGUAUAGUUACAACUGCUGAAGAGGAAGGAAUUAGCUUUUUAUUCUCACUAAAAAUUCAAAUCUUAUGGAACAGGAUAUCAUUUUGAAGAAAAAAAAAACUAGCUAUAAAAAUUAAUUAGAAACUGAACAGAACUUGUUUAUUCCCUCUGAUUUAUGAACAUAUUAUAUUUUAGAAUCCUUUUCUUUUUUCUCUUAACACAAAUCAACCUCUAAGAACCAGAAUAGCCAACCUUUAGUAAACAGUCCUAGUUCCACUGAAACUUUUUCAGGAUCUCCACAAUCAGUUUCAGACAUAUAUAUUUUAGCUUCCCAUAGCAACUCAUGUGAAUAUCACAACAAGCAAUGCCACAGUAAGUGUGCACAUAACAGCAGUGGGAGAGAAAACAGGAGAAAGAAUGCAGCAGUUGGAGCUCUUGACCUUUGUUAUUCUCUGACAAAAGUGUCAUAACCAGCCCUUAGACCUAACUAAAGCACGUAGAAGACUUUUGUUCUUUUUCCAUUCACCUAUCACUGCUACAGGGUUUAUUUGAAGCAGGCUACAUCACAUAUCAACAAGGAUCUCACUCUUUAUUACAGUCUUCAGUGGCCCUGUACCUCCGUAAUAAUCCUGAUCUGAUUUCUUGUUUUUGUAAUUAGCAUUAAUUAUGGUAGCUUAAUCAUUAGCUGAAAUGUUAGAAAACAUAUUCUGAAAUAUCUGUCAGGAUUAAUUUUUCUUCAUUCACUUCUGCAGGAACCAGCUUUUCUUAGAUGUCAUUUGCUCCAUUUUUAAGCUGUCACUUUCUAGUACUACCAGAAGGAAGAUCACUGGAACUAACUGUCAAUGCACAAACCCCCACUGCUAUGUUUUGCUGGAAUUUGAUGGGAGGAGAACAAACAAGUACAAACUAUGAUUUUUUUAUCUUGCAAUGAGAGGCCAUAGAGAGUAUAAAAUAGUUAUUCAUGUGGCUAUGCUUGGUUACUGGACUUCAGAGAGGUUCUGCCUUUGUGCCGAGCCCCAGCUCGUCAGUCACCAGCAGCUGCUACUACUGCACCCACCCAGCAUUGGGGCAGUCACUGUUCUCUCUCUUAUAGGGAGAGCAGGAUACUCCCAACCAGCUUCUGUUUCCCAGCACUGAAAACUUUUGCCACCAGCAAGGCAACCACAGAUACUCAGGGAUAUCCAGACAAGAAACUAAGACAAGCUGCACAGACUUUCAGUCAUGGGGAACUCCACAAUCUGCAAGUUCACCAAGUGUCUGAGGGCAGACUGAGAGGGGAGGGCUAUCAUGGGUGCAGACAUGCUCAUCUUACAAAAUUUUUGAGCAGGUGGCCAGGCUGCAAGAAGAAAUUAUCAGGCUGAGAACUAUCCAGCAAUCAGAGAGAGAAAUCAGUGCAUGCUAUUGUGCAGUGACACUGUCUGAUUGACAGCCCCUCCAAGGGGAAUAAGCUAAGUAAGCUUACAACCCCGAGGAGACAAGACAUCAAAAAUAUGCAAGAUGAGGAAGCUGGAGCCUUGUCUCUGCUUGGAGCAGAAAGGAGAGCCUCCCCUGAAGUCUCCCUCACCAACAGAUAAAAAGAGAAAAGGGGUUUGGGUAAUGGUUCUGACCUGGAAAGGGACAACUACAUCAAGAUGAUCCAACCAGUGAUGAUCUCCUCAUGCUUGGAAACUAGGAAUGAAGCAGGAAGAGGAGAAUGAACCAGCUGAAUGAAUGGCUGUGUGGAUGGUGUCAUGCUCGGGGUUUUGGAUUCUACAAUCUUGGAUGCAGGUUCAAUAGACUGGGCAUACUGAUGUUGGAUGGGAUGGAACUGAGCAUGAGGGGCAAGAACAUGCUGGGCAUCAAGUAGGCUGAACUGAUCACCGGAGCUUUAAACUAGAUUUGAUGAGAGAAGGGGGUGAACAACAAGGAAACAUUGGCUUUUUACUUUAGGAAGCAGCAGAGGAAAACACAGCUGAAGUCCAUCAGCUGAUAGCCCAGCUGAAGUCCAGCUACACCAGUGCACACAACAUGGGAAAUAAUAACCAGGAGAAGAUGAAAACCAUGGUGCAAUUAGAAAACUGUGACCUAAUUACUAUCACAGAAACAUGAUGGGAUGAAUCACACAAUUAGAAUGCUACAGUUGAGGGCUACAAGCUUGUUAGAAGAGACGGGCAGGGCAGAAGGGGCAACCCCCCGGUUGUCCUCUGUAUUAGGAAGUAGAUAGACUGAAAAGAGCUGCCUCUAGUCAACAGUCAAAAAUAGGUUGAGAGCUUGUGGGUUAAAAUCAGGGACCAGACAAAUAAAGGGCAUCUGGUGGUCAGGAUUUCCUAUAGACUGCUUGAUUAGGGGAGGCUGUGGAUAAGAUCUUCUUGCUUCAGCUAUAACAGGUGUUGUGCUUACAGGCUCUCAUCCUAGUGGGGGAUUUCAACCACUCAUAGGUCUGCUGGGAAAGAAAACAUGGCAGGCUGUAAGCAAUCCAAAAGACUCCUACCAUUCUUUGAGGAUAACUUCCUGGUCCAGGUGUUGAAUAGACCAACCAGAGGUAAAAUGUUACUGGACCUGGUGUUUAUCAACGCAGAGAUCAUUGGAGGCAGUCUGGACUGUGGUUACCAUGCCCUGAUCAAGUUCACGAUCUCAAGGAAUGUGGACCUAACAAAGCUCAGAGUCAGGACUCCGAGCUUCAGGAGAGCAAACUUCAAACUGUUUAAGGAAUUAUUGGGUGAGGCCCCCAGAAAAAUAGUCCUCAGGAACAAAGGAACAGAACAGUGAAUGCAGCACUUAAGGACACUUUUCCAAAAACAGAAUUGCUCUCCAUCCACCAACAUAAGAAAUCAAGCAGAGCAAGCAGGAAAAUGGUAUGGCUGAGCAAAGACCUGCUGAUCAAACUGAGGUAUAAGAAGGAAAUGCAUGGGGGGUGAAAGCAGGGACACUAGGAAGAACGCAGGAAUGCCCUCUAAACAUGCAGAGAUGGGGUCGGGAAAGCAAAGGUGCAGAUGGAAGUGAACUCAGCAAGGGAUGUGAAAAAUAACAAGAAUGGAUUCUACAGGUGCAAUGGUCAGAAGAGACAGACCAAAGAGAGUGUACUCCCUCUAAAGGGAGAACUGACUUCUACAGACAUGGAGAAGAAUGAGGUACUAACAAAUUCUCAAUCUCCACUGGUAGUCAGGCUUCCCACACCUCUUGUGUCCCUGAACAUAUGGGCAGAGGCCAGGGGAGCAAAAUCCCUCCCACUCUAAGAGCAGAGCCAGUCAGAUAUUGCCUUAUGAGACUGAACGUGUACAAGUAAAUGGGGCUGAACAACACACAUCCCUGGUUCCUGAAGGAGCUGCCUGAUGUGGUUGCCAAGCCACUCUCCAUCAUAUUUGAAAAUUUGUGGCUGCCAGGGAAGGUCUCUGGUGACAGGAAAAAUUGAAAUAUCACUCCUAUUUUUAAGAAAGGGAGAAAGGAAGUCCCAGGUAACUACAGGCCAGUGAGCCUCACAUUAGUGCCUGUGAAUAUCAUGAAACGGUUGCUCCUGGAAGACUAUUGCACAUGCAAGUUGAGGAGGGGGAUCCAAAACAGCCAGCAUGGCCUGACCAAUCUGGUGGCCUUCUAUAAUGGAGUAAUGGUAUACGUGGAUAAAGGAAGGGUAGCUAAUUUCAUCAAUCUAGACCUGUGCAAGGUCUUUGACAUGGUCCCACACCACAUCCUUACCUCUGAAUUGGAGAGAGAUGGAUCUGAAGGCUGGACUGCUCAGUGGAUAAAGAACUGGUUACGAGGUAGCAGCCAGAGAGUUGUGGUCAAGGGUACAGAGUCCAGUGAAGGUUGGUCAUGAGUGGUAUCCCCCAGGGGUCCAUCUUGGGACCAGUGCUCUUCAACAUCUUUAUCAGUAAUGAUAAUGGGACUGAGUGCUCCCUCAGCAUGUUUUCUCUGAGUGGUGCAGCUGAUAAAAUAGAAGAAAGAGAUACCACCCCCUGAGACCUGGGCAGGCUUGAAAAGUGGUCCCAUGUGAACCAAAUGACAACAAGGCCAACUACAAGGUGUUGCACCUUGGGUGGAGGCAAUCCUAGAUAUUUGUUCAAA